rnacentral:rRNA from 1 species
CACGGAGGGUGCAAGCGUUAUUCGGAAUCACUGGGCGUAAAGCGCGCGUAGGCGGUCUCUUAAGUCAGAUGUGAAAGCCCGGGGCUUAACCCCGGAAGUGCAUUUGAAACUAAGAGACUUGAGUAUGGGAGAGGGAAGUGGAAUUCCUGGUGUAGCGGUGAAAUGCGUAGAUAUCAGGAUGAACACCGGUGGCGAUGGCGACUUCCUGGACCAAUACUGACGCUGAGGCGCGAAGGCGUGUGGAGCAAACAGG